rnacentral:rRNA from 1 species
AUUGAACGCUGGCGGCAGGCCUAACACAUGCAAGUCGAGCGGAUGAGUGGAGCUUGCUCCAUGAUUCAGCGGCGGACGGGUGAGUAAUGCCUAGGAAUCUGCCUGGUAGUGGGGGACAACGUUUCGAAAGGAACGCUAAUACCGCAUACGUCCUACGGGAGAAAGUGGGGGAUCUUCGGACCUCACGCUAUCAGAUGAGCCUAGGUCGGAUUAGCUAGUUGGUGAGGUAAAGGCUCACCAAGGCGACGACCCGUAACUGGUCUGAGAGGAUGAUCAGUCACACUGGAACUGAGACACGGUCCAGACUCCUACGGGAGGCAGCAGUGGGGAAUAUUGGACAAUGGGCGAAAGCCUGAUCCAGCCAUGCCGCGUGUGUGAAGAAGGUCUUCGGAUUGUAAAGCACUUUAAGUUGGGAGGAAGGGCAGUAAGUUAAUACCUUGCUGUUUUGACGUUACCAACAGAAUAAACACCGGCUAACUUCGUGCCAGCCGCCGCGGUAAAAC